CCCAAUACCCUCUCAUUCACUCACUCGUCUAUAUCUCUCUAUCUCCCACUCUCUCUGGAACCUUCCACCUCCUAUCCUCUCUGAUGAGCUCCCUUCACCAUCUACGGAUCAUCUCCGGCGUGUCUUUGCCUUAUGAGUCCAUCUCGACACGGACCAGCCCCUUUUCCAAGCCUUUCUUGUUUCUAGGGUUUCUCUGAAACCUUAUGCCAUUUCGAGGUUUUCUUGUUUCUCUCUAGAUCCACUUUAGAUCCGUGCUAUUUCUGAGGUUUUCAAAGUAUUUCUUACAUCACUUUAAGUUUCUGCGUUCAAAAUUGUUCGUCUUCUCGAACCUAGGAUUUCCUUGAUUUUUACUUGUUCUACUGUGAUUUCUUACGUUAUUUUGCUUUGUCGUAACUCUUAAGUGUUUCCACUAUUGUUUCUAUGUAUUUUUCUUUACUGUAUUUCCUCUUAGGGGUUUCCUAGCG
rnacentral:lncRNA from 1 species